UAAUUUUUUUUUUUUUUUUUGUAAUUUGCAUAGAUACGGUAACAGCACAAAUAUCUGAAGGCCAAAAUAUCCAAGUUACACUAGAACAAAGCAAAAUUUUCCCUUAAAAAUAUAGAGGAAGAAGAUGACAGAACCAAAAAUAAAAUAAAAGAGAAUCCACUAACAGAUAUCACCUUAAAAAUGCCACGAAGAGACUGGCUUAAAAUCCAUUAACAAAAGGAAAUACCCAUCCAAUAUUCCAAUCCCAGUGACAUCUAACAUGGUAAUGCCAAAGAAUUGUUUCCAUUACCUACCCAGUCUUACAUUUGAAUAUUUAUGCUACAAGGUGUGCUACCUACCACCAAGCUUUGGACCUUGCCCUAGUUCAGAGGCGUACCUACCACCAAGCUAAGCCCUGCUGUUUGCUUUCACUUUCAAUAAUGGCCAUCUCAUCUCCUAAAAAUAAGUGCAGAUGAACGCAGGCAUCAUAGGAUUUUGAGUACUUCUUCUGUCCUCAUGCUCUCAAGAUGUGAACAGUUGUGAAUGCAGAUAGAUACGAUUUAAUUUUGAAAGCAUCAACAUGUACAAAUAUUUUUUUUUUAUUUAUGC
rnacentral:misc_RNA from 1 species